CUUGCAAUUGGAUUGAGAACAACGUAAAACUCUUAUCGAUAAGCCAUUGGAGGGCAAGUCUGGUGCCAGCAGCCGCGGUAAUUCCAGCUCCAAUAGCGUAUAUUAACGUUGUUGCAGUUAAAAAGCUCGUAGUUGAAGUGAGGGAGUGUGUGUUGUGAUCGAAUCGAUCGAGAGCAGUACAAGCUCCCCCUUCCAAUGGGUGUAUUGGGGUAUUCAUUUACUUCAUUACUCCUUUGGUCGUUUACUGUGAGAAAAUUAGAGUGUUCAAAGCGGGCGUUUGUUUGAAUAGAUUAGCAUGGAAUAAUGAUUGAAGGCUUUCGUGUUCGAUUUGAUUGGUUUGUUCAUGGAAGCAAGGUUAAAAGGAACAGUUGGGGGUAUUCAUAUUCACUAGUUAGAGGUGAAAUUCUCGGAUUUAUGGAAGAUGAACAAGUGCGAAAGCA
rnacentral:rRNA from 1 species